rnacentral:rRNA from 1 species
CAGUAGCCACGGGAAUACGAAGGGUGCAAGCGUUACUCGGAAUUACUGGGCGUAAAGCGUGCGUAGGUGGUGGUUUAAGUCCGUUGUGAAAGCCCUGGACUCAACCUGGGAAUAGCAAUGGAUACUGGCAAGCUAGAGUGUGUCAGAGGAUGGUGGAAUUCCCGGUGUAGCGGUGAAAUGCGUAGAGAUCGGGAGGAACAUCAGUGGCGAAGGCGGCCACCUGGGACAACACUGACGCUGAGGCACGAAAGCGUGGGGAGCAAACAGGAUUAGAUACCCCCGUAGUCCCUGUCUCUUAUAC